rnacentral:rRNA from 1 species
UGGGGAAUCUUGCGCAAUGGGCGAAAGCCUGACGCAGCGACGCCGCGUGCGGGAAGAAGGCCUUCGGGUUGUAAACCGCUUUCAGGAGGGACGAGGCCACUCGGGUUAAUAGCCUAGAGGGUGACGGUACCCCCAGAAGAAGCCCCGGCUAACUACGUGCCAGCAGCCGCGGUAAUACGUAGGGGGCUAGCGUUGUCCGGAUUUAUUGGGCGUAAAGAGCGCGUAGGCGGCCGAGUAAGUCCGACGUGAAAUCUGGAGGCUCAACCUCCAGCGGUCGUUGGAAACUACUCGGCUAGAGUCCGGAAGAGGAGAGUGGAAUUCCUGGUGUAGCGGUGAAAUGCGCAGAUAUCAGGAAGAACACCGAUGGCGAAAGCAGCUCUCUGGGACGGUACUGACGCUGAGGCGCGAAAGCGUGGGGAGCGAACAGGAUUAGAUACCCUGGUAGUCCACGCCGUAAACGAUGGGUGCUAGGUGUGGGCGGUGUCGACUCCG